CAGCCGCCGCGGUAAUACGGAGGGGGCUAGCGUUGUUCGGAAUUACUGGGCGUAAAGCGCGCGUAGGCGGACCUGCAAGUCGGGGGUGAAAGCCCGAGGCUCAACCUCGGAACUGCCUUCGAUACUGCGGGUCUCGAGUCCGGGAGAGGUGAGUGGAAUUCCUAGUGUAGAGGUGAAAUUCGUAGAUAUUAGGAAGAACACCAGUGGCGAAGGCGGCUCACUGGCCCGGUACUGACGCUGAGGCGCGAAAGCGUGGGGAGCAAACAGGAUUAGAUACCCUGGUAGUCCACGCCGUAAACUAUGGGUGCUAGCCGUCGGUCGGCAUGCCGGUCGGUGGCGCAGCAAACGCAUUAAGCACCCCGCCUGGGGAGUACGGUCGCAAGAUUAAAACUCAAAGGAAUUGACGG
rnacentral:rRNA from 1 species